UGUAUGCUUUAUAGGACUCUCCAUACUCACUCAUUCAUAAUAGAUGCGCUCACGUAUCAGACCAGUCAAGGAAGUCGGCCUGCUAUCAGCAUAUUUGACAACCUUGACACUCGGUGACAGGUCUGAAGGUAUUAGCAAGGAGCCUGGAGACGACAUAGCUGGACAAAGAUGUUGAUGGCAAAAUCACAACACAAGCAAGGUUUUCAGGCUAAGUUCUUGUGCAUAUAAGUUCGCCACCGUCACAAACAAAGCCGGGCGACCUCCAGCCCUCCUCAAAAACGAACCUGACCCAAGAAACCCGUGACUCAUCUGAAGGACAACCUGGAGGUCCAGAUGCUACAAAGGUUCAAAAAUAUCCUCGAAAUCAGGGAGGAUCACCACCUGCUGACUCGGGAGAGCACGCUUUCCUCGCUAAUGUGGGGACACUUGCUACAGAUAUUCUUGGUCAUUGGGCUAAAUAGAAUAGCCUUCUGGAUGUGAACGCCCUCAUCUGUCUUAUUUCCGUUCAGUUCUAUUUAUUUGUUUCACCAUUAGAAAUGCUUAUCUGUAGUGUUACCUUCCCAUUCUGACAUGGAAGCUAAUCUGUUUAAGUUAUGUUCCUCCAUUAACUUACUUUAAUUGUUUCCUAUGUUAAUUGACUGCAAAAUGCGAAACAUGUUAAAAUUCUGGGGCUGAAGCUGCAGAACAUAUUGUAUAUGUCGCAUAGAAAAAUACGAAAAUGAAAUUUGACAUAACUAACAUGAUCUGGUGCUUCAAUUUCGCUUCCAGGUUUUCUUUCUAGUGUGGUGAAUAACAACUUUUGGUUUAUAUGGAGUUUUAGUGGAGUUGCCACCGUCUUUCUAAGCAAGAAAAAGUGCAUCGGAGGCAGAACUUUGAUGUGGAUACAGCUGUAUCACUUAGCUUCAAAAUUUCAUGCACCAUAUUCUUGAUUAAUGAACCUUCUGGUUGUUCCAU